GGCGUGUCUGUAGUUAUCUCAAUUGAUUGUUCAGUCAGUUACAGAUGGAACUCCUUGUUCUAUUUCCCCGUUUCUCACUACUGCACUUGACUAGUCUAAA
rnacentral:sRNA from 1 species